CCCAUUAGCCGAGGUUCGCUGACAAGCCAGCCUGUAGUAGGCACUCAAUAAGAACUCCCUAAGUGAGUGAAGUCAUAUAUGGUUCUGAACCUUGGUUUCCUCGUAUGAAAGAAGGAAAUGUAAUACUUCAAAAAGCUGUCAUGGAGAUAGGAAUUGAUGUUUUGUAAAAUACCUAAGCAGAGAAGACAGUCUGAAUUAGAGAAGACUUUGGAAUAACUUCAGUGGUAUUGCUGUCUUCAGGUGCAGGAUCCCCAUCCAAGUCCUUCGCCACAGGCUUGAGCACAUCUUGCUGGUCACCUAGGGAAUGACUACACGGCAGGCAGCUGGCCCUGGGUGAGUGAGCCCUUCCCUUCAAGUCUGAAGACCUUAAGUUCUGUCACUUCUUUGUCAGAAGACCAUGCAAGUUCCUUGACGUCUCUCAGCUACUGUUUCCUCACUUGUAAGAGGCUGUUCUCAGGUUCAUCUCACGAAGCUGUUGGAGGGAUUAAAUGAGCGUGCCCUUCACCAGGCCCCUGGCAGUGAUGACGGAAGAAUCCUCGUGCGCUUUGAUGGCCCGGGGAAGCGUCUUGGGGAUGCCACCAUUCUGGUCUACACACUUCCUCACAGUGGGUUAUUUUUCAUGAGAGAGAAAUUUAAGGCAA